AAUCUUUUGUCUCCACAGUCAUUCACUUCCACACAAAACCAACUGUUGCCUAUUUGGGUAGUGGACUAGAAAAACCAUAGUAUAACUGAAGAGUUCUGGAUUGGAGAAAAGUCCAGCUUUUGAACAGAAAUAUAUUACCUUCAUUUCAGUCUAAUUUGUGAUUCUUUUCCAAGAAGUGUAAUUGAAACUUCAGAAUAGGGUGAGAAUAUCAAGGGAUCGGGUGUGAGGAGAGAAGACUACAUGCAUAAUCCAUGUUGACUCUCAAAUUCUUCCUGAGGAUACCACAGCCCAAACAUUUAUGUUUCCAGAAAAAGGGAAGAAUCCUUGAGUUCUCCACUGUGAAGAGCAGGUGCCAGAUACAAACCUUGUUCAAGAAAGAAAGCUGAUGAUCUCAGAAACAUUUUUGUUAUCCUGUUGUUGAUCUUACAAAA
rnacentral:lncRNA from 1 species